rnacentral:lncRNA from 10 species
AAUGGGAGAAAAGAGAAUUCUGUAAUCUUGUGAUUAAAUUUCAGUUUUUUAGCAGGUCUUUCCAUGUGGGCUGUGACUUUCACAAGAGCUUUCACCUUUUUUUUCAUCCCCACUUAGGUAAGACAGAAAGGCUAUGGGUGGCUGGAACUGGGUAACUGCCCUUCUGUCAACAUAAGAUAAGGCUCUGAUAAAAUAUUUUUCAGUGGAGCAUAGGACUUUGUUACAAGAAAAAAACUGUCAUAUUUCAAAGUGGUUACUUUUCUCCUCCCCCUGCCAAAGACACGAGAUGAUUUUUCUUGGCUCUUCAUGAUGAGAACUUGGUGGGGUUCUUGGAGGUAAAAACCUCUGAAUAUGCAGAACCCCUUCUAAGACUGUGACUCCAAGGAGUUUUUAUUCUUGAGCUAUGUCACACUCAACUUACAGCAAUUUAUCUGAAUUACCAUUCAGGUGAUCCAUCCACUUUUUAGUUCCGUGGUUCCUGCUCCAGAAGACAAGGACAAACUGAUACAUCAUCAAAAGAAUUUAUUUAGCCAGAGUGAAUACAUUCUUCUUUAUCCUCAUUGUCUUUAUGGAAACCUCCAAAUGAGCAGCAGUGCACAUCUAUAAAGGAUACAUGGAUGAUUCAGAGAAAAAAAAGUGACCAUGAUUUGGCCCCCACAGGGUCCAGCCCUCCUUCUGUGAUUUCUUCAAACUGACACCCUGGAGGCUGUUGAUGAGAGGACACCCUCUGGUGAGGAGACACUGGGUUCACAGUCCAAAGGCAGAGUACCAGUCAUACUCAAGGUGAAGAAAAAUUGCACACAGUAGGCCCGAGACUAUUAUUUUUAGAGGCCUACUUGCAAGGUUGGCCUUUGGCUGAAGUCUGGGAGCUUGUAUUUCUCAAGAGUUCCCACCAUUCCCAGAACUUACAAGAGUGGCUCACUGUACCUAAACUGUUAUACAAACAAUAUGAUUUAUGCUAAACACCUCUUUUCCUUCUAGGAGUCCGGAAUUUUGGUGCAUGCUAGGCAGAAAGUGACCAACAUCCAAUAAAAACUUUGGACACUCAGUCUCUAAUGAGCUUCACUCGUACAUAAUAUUACACAUAUGUUGUCAGAGUCUGUUGCUGGAGGAAUUAAGCAUACCCUCUGUGGUUCCACUGAAAGAGGACUCUUGGAAGCUUGCAAUUGGUUUCCUCCAGACUUCACCUCCUGCACCUUUUUCCCUUUGCUGAUUUUGCUUUGCAUCUUUUCACUAUAAUAAAUUAUAGCCAUAGCUGGGUGCAGUGACUCAUGCCU